AAAAAAAAAAAAAAAAAAAAAGAACAGAACAACUAAACCCUGCUGCUCUUCUGCAUGUACAAUUUUAGUAGAGGUGCAGUUGAAUCCUGUCCGUUAACCUUAUUCAACUUGUCUCAUCAUUUUGUAUCGAUUCCCCUUCUCACACUCCUUAAUUUGUAACUUAUCUCUACUGCGCAAAAUAAAAAAGAAUGCAUCCUCUACUUCACCAAUUUUUGUCCUUUAAUAGAUUGUAACUGCAAUGGAUUUUAAUAUUUUAAUACAUGACAUUACCAAAUAUUUUGGAUCCAUUUAGUUGGAAUAUGUGGUUGCACAAUUUUGAAUGUAGGCACAGGUUUCUGAAGCGGCAGGAUGUGUGACUCGUGGUUGUUGCUAAUAAACGGCUCAGCCAAAAAGAGACUGAAGCAGCAUAUGACCAAAUGAGAGUCAAAGGCAAGGCUUGCGGGGUAUUUAUCAUGUUACAUAUGAAUGUACUUGUGUUGGAGGAAGUGGUGGAUUGCAUGGUUUGAUAGGUGUGACUCUGAAUAAUAUUGAUAGGCAUCAAGUGUAUUAUAAGGUUGCCGUUGAUGAAGGAUAAAAAUGCAGGUAGUCAGUUGAGGAAAUGGCUGCUUUUGAUUGACAUUUUAUCCAACAAAAAGUAUAACAAUUUGUGUUUGUUAUCUUUUCUCCUUAGUAUAUUUGUAGGACUUUGUUUUUCAUUGAAUGUACAUAGUAUGAAGCUUUAUUAUGUUGUAUGGAAAGGUCUUCUCAUUACCUGUUAAAA